GUGGGUUGGCUCAGUGGUUAGAGCGUAGGUACUAUGUCUUGUAACCGAAAGGUUGCGGGAUCGAAUCCCGCUAGAGGCUGACA
rnacentral:tRNA from 1 species